CAUAUAGUUAAAACGAUAACUAUUCGAAAACAGAGGGAGUAUAUGAGAAGUUGGGAAUUAGAAAGUAUAGAGAGAGAUCUGGAUUGGGUUGGCAAAUUAGAGCUGUGAUUGUUUUUUUCUAUCAUUUAUUACCAUGUUCACGUUUACAGACGUCAAGUCAAUACUUUUUUUUUUUUUUUAUGAUGAUGAUGGUAAUUUAUUAAAAAGAAAUUUUCACGUUUCUGCUGAAAAAAAAGAUUUUCUCUCAGUAUUUGGCAAAGUGAGAUUUAGUUCUCACGUUUUGACAAUUAAGCCAAAAUCUGACGAAAAUACCCCUAAUGACUUAAACCAAAUGGCAGAGUUGGUUUCGGUUUAGUUACUUUUUCUUUUUUUACGGUUUGGUUUUGAAUUAAAAAAAAAAAAUUCUUGCGCAGAAACGAAGAAGAAGAAUGAGAGAGAGAAAGAGAGAAAGGCGAUGGAGGCGAUGGAGGCGAUGGAGGCGAUUUUAGGUUUCUUUCCCAACAAUGAUGGUUUUUGAUCGGAGGCGUUUGGAUCGGUUUAUUUUUGGUCCUCCAUGGAGUUUCAAUGGUCGGAUCUGUGGGUAUCAAUUUGAUUCUAGGGUUCUUGGGUUGAUUGCGGUGGUGUUCGGUGACCCGUUUGAAAGGUUCUGGUCAUGGGAAGGGACCAAUAUUGUGGUUUUCUUUCGAAUCGGUUUCAAAUUUCCAAGUUUGGGUGUUGUCAAGGAGGAGGAUUGGAAGAGUUACGGGCCCAAUUUGGGGGUUUCAAUGGUGAUGAAUUAUUCUCGCCGACGGGUUCUUUUUCAAAGAUUUUUGAGGUGUGGCUGAGUAUUGAUGGAUACCCGAUUGGGCAGAGAGGAAUCUCCGGUCUGGGUUCGAUGGCGGUGGGCGGUGUGGAUUGAUGGUGGUUCAAAGGACAUCAGAUCUGAUAGAGAGGAAGGUUUAAAUUGGGAUCAAUGGUGGCUUGCAACAAGGUCAAAGAUACAAAUCAGAUGUAUAUUCACGGUUGUUGUCUAAGUUCUUGGAAGGGUCCAAAUGAAGCAGAUAUGUGGUUCAAUUCUGGCUUUUCAAAGGAGGUGGGCUUAUUUUCAUGAUGUUUCAAGUCUGAGAUCAUGUCGACAAAUUUGGUUUUGGACUUUCAUGUUUCUACAGCGGAGGAGUGUUCUAGUUCUCUUUCAUGGUCUAUUUUUGUUGGUCGUAAUUGAGUUUGUAAUGUUUGUAAGGUAUUAAGGUAGUUAUUAAAUUAAGUGUCGUGUAUAUUAAGUUAAGUUAGUUAUGUCUUAACGGUUGUUGUGUCACAAGAAAGAAGAGUUACAACUCUUGAUUUUCAUGUCUGUUGGAUUCUAUUUAAGUUCCUUGUUGUAAACCUUAAACUACAGUCGUUGUUUUUUCACUUUUAUCUAAUAAAGAUAGAAGUUCUUUUCUUCA